UCACUUAGCACUUUAUCUUUGUCGGCACAGAGCCUGGAAGGAGUACAACAAAUACCCGUGGGCUGGGCGCCUGCCGGCUUCUCUCACCAGGGUUUGCCGAGAGAGCUCAAGGAAGCCCACGAUUUGUUGCUUCCUGUUUCCGGAGUCCCUCUACCUGAGUCCCGCGGCCUCACGAGUUCAAAGUUUGAAAAUGCUGGGGCAGUUGGCUUCUUCGUCUGCUCCUUUCCCAUCGUAUUAGUAGCAAUUCUGUCCUUUCUGACUGCGGGAACCUUUCAGCUCAUCUACCUGGCCUUAGUCUCUCGCUAUGCAGCCACCGCAGCCUCCCUCAUGGGGCUUCCCACCGCCACACUGUAUGAAGAAAGCAAGAUCAGAAACUGACAGCCAUCAAAAGGAUCCUCAAAGGGGGACAUGCCACCCAGAGCCACAGGUGACACACCAGCACUUCUCAGAAGGUAAAAAGAAGAAGGAAAUGGCUCCAUUACACAGACAAGAACACCGAGCCAAGAAUGGAGAACCUGGGCAUCUUUCUGAGUUGUGCAAGUGCAGAGACCAGAGCUCUGCCUAGGACCCAGGCUUGCUACAGUGGUUGACUCCAGCGCUAUGCACUGCAGGAACUGCAGAGCUCUGGCCAUCCUCAUGGAGAACACAGGCUCUCUUGGACCAGGAUAUGUGUGAACUGAGCUACCCCAAACCCCCGGUUAUAGCAAUACAAACAGAUUGCCAGCAUGCUGAGGAGGUUCCUACCCCACUGCAGAGCUCUGCUGAGAGAAUAUGGGCGUAGUUGAUAGGAUCCCACCUGGAAGUCCCCACAAAGAACUGGAAGACCUGCGUUCAACUCUUGGCUUCUCUGGGUCUCAGAGCAAAGUCACUUAACCUCCUUGAUAAUCACUUAACCCUUACCCUUACCCUAACCCUAACCCUAACCCUAACUCCUUGUCCUGGUCCUAAGACGGAGUCACUUGGCUUCCUUGUCUGUGAAGAUGGGGGUGAAAUCUGUUUCCUGGAGUGAUUGUUAAAACAAGUAAGAGAUUGUGCCAGAAGUGCUUUGUAGGGGUUGGGGAUUUAGCUUAGUGGUAGAGCACUUGCCCCACAAGUGCAAGACCCUGGGUUUGGUCCUCGGUUCUGAAAAAAAAAAGACAAAAUAAAAGUGGUUUGUAAACAGCUUUGAAUAUAAGUGUAAACAUCUCAGAAAAUUUCGAUUGAACUGCAACACACGGAAUGCCCAGAACCAGCUACACGUAGUGACCUGUUCUACUCUCACGUGCUCUUGGUCCCGGAUCUCCAGACAUGUUGGGGAUAGAAUGCUAUAGACACCAGUGGAUCAUGAAAAAACAAACAUUUCUUGGCACCCAAGGUCCACUUCUCUACUCUUCAUGAGUUAGUAAGACAUAAAUGUCAUUCUUCUUCUUCUCUUCCUAUUAGAGCCAGGCCGUCAUUGCCAAUAUUCAUAAGAGAAAAUGUUGACACUCCAGUGGAGGCCUGGUUGGGCCCAAGGAAGAGUGGCAGGGAGCUGGCUUCACCUAAAGGCCAGAGGCAUUAUGGUUGGAAUGUGAAAGGCCCCAUAGGUUCACGUGUUUUAUUAGUUGGUUCCUAGCUUGUGGCAGUAUUUUGGAAGGUUGUAGAAAAUUUAGGAAGCAGAACCACACUGAGGUCAGACAUUUGAGGUUCUCUGGCCUGGCCUGAAUUCCUUUUAACUCUCUGUUUCCUGAUCUGCGUGUAUGUGAGCGAGCAGAAGCAGCCUGCUUCCCUGUCCCAACAAUGCCUGUCACCAUGCCGUCCCCACUGUGACAGCUA